CAGCCGCGGCCUCCCUGCCCCGCCGCCACCACAUCCUCCUGCUCUUCCGAAGCCUUCUCCAGCCGCUCCGCCCGCUGCCGCCACCUUCUCCUGCCGCGCUGCCCGCCUUCUCUGAUGGCACGGCCGCCAGUGCCAACAGGCACCUCUGAUGGAGCUGCCAUCGAACCUCCACAAGGGCUUGGCCGUCGGUGCCCUCCUCCCUCGCUGAGGGAGCCGCCAAUGACCCCUGUCAUUUCUAGUCCCCUGCCAACACACAGCCAGGUCAGUAAUCAUCCGCACAUCUCCCCGCCCUUAUUUUGAUCUCAUCGUGUUCAAACUAGGGAAUAAUUGCUUUGUGAUUACAUAGUGCCUUCAGAAGUAACUUGAGUGAGUUGAUGGAGAAUUUGCUGCAGUAGCUUCGUCAGAUUUGGCUGCUAUCUUCUAAUGGGCAAUAUUCAGUGGUAUAGACAUUUACAGAACAAUGGACGGUUCUGCCUCAUAAAUUUCAUUGGAAAUGCUAAGUGUCAUUGUUAAUUAGCUCAAUUUAGUUUUUAGUUGAAUGUGUCAGUUGUUAAUUAGCUGAAUUUAGUUUUUAUAGUCAUCUUAUUUAGACUAGGGAAUGUACCAUGGGACAAGAAUUUCUUUUCAGAAAAUUCAGUUGUUUGAUAGUUGAAUUCAGUUGCUAAUCUACACUACGUAUUGCCAACGAGAUAAUGCAACACUCCACGCUUGUUUCAUAUGAAAAGAUGUUAAUUCUUGAUUUUCCUAUUGCCAUCUUUCUUUCUUCUUUGUGCUGACGGCUGACUAGAGUAUAUGCUAAUUCAGUAUGUU
rnacentral:lncRNA from 1 species